UACGUAGGGGGCAAGCGUUGUCCGGAUUUACUGGGCGUAAAGAGCGUGUAGGCGGCCAGGUAGGUCGGUUGUGAAAACUGGAGGCUCAACCUUCAGAGGUCGACCGAAACCAUCUGGCUAGAGUCCGGGAGAGGAGAGUGGAAUUCCUGGUGUAGCGGUGGAAAUGCGCAGAUAUCAGGAAGAACACCCGUGGCGAAAGCGGCUCUCUGGAACGGUACUGACGCUGAGACGCGAAAGCGUGGGAGCGAACAGG
rnacentral:rRNA from 1 species